rnacentral:rRNA from 1 species
CACGUAGUUAGCCGGUGCUUCUUAUACAGGUACCGUCACAAAAGCUUCGUCCCUGUCGAAAGGAGUUUACAACCCGAAGGCCGUCAUCCCCCCACGCGGCGUCGCUGCAUCAGGCUUCCGCCCAUUGUGCAAUAUUCCCCACUGCUGCCUCCCGUAGGAGUCUGGGCCGUAUCUCAGUCCCAAUGUGGCCGUACACCCUCUCAGGCCGGCUACCCGUCGACGCCUUGGUAGGCCAUUACCCCACCAACAAGCUGAUAGGCCGCGAGCUCAUCUUGCACCGAAAAAACUUUCCAACCACCACACUAAAAGGCAGCUACUAUCCGGUAUUAGACCCAGUUUCCCAAGCUUAUCCCAGAGUACAAGGCAGAUCACCCACGUGUUAACUCACCCGUUCGCCACUCGAGUACCAGUGCAAGCACUGGCCUUUCCGUUCGACUUGCAUGUGUUAAGCACGCCGCCAGCGUCGUCUCGUAGCCAGGAUCAAACUACUA